rnacentral:rRNA from 1 species
GACGAACGCUGGCGGCGCGCCUAACACAUGCAAGUCGAACGAAGUGGCGAACGGGUGAGUAACGCGUGAGGAACCUGCCUUUCAGAGGGGGACAACAGUUGGAAACGACUGCUAAUACCGCAUGCUGAAAGAUGGCCUCGCGUCUGAUUAGCUAGUUGGUGAGGUAACGGCCCACCAAGGCGACGAUCAGUAGCCGGACUGAGAGGUUGACCGGCCACAUUGGGACUGAGAUACGGCCCAGACUCCUACGGGAGGCAGCAGUGGGGAAUAUUGGGCAAUGGGCGCAAGCCUGACCCAGCAACGCCGCGUGAAGGAAGAAGGCUUUCGGGUUGUAAACUUCUUUUGUCGGGGACGCGGUACCUGGCGAAUAAGCCACGGCUAACUACGUGCCAGCAGCCGCGGUAAUACGUAGGUGGCAAGCGUUGUCCGGAUUUACUGGGUGUAAAGGGCGUGUAGCCGGGAAGGCAAGUCAGAUGUGAAAUCCACGGGCUUAACUCGUGAACUGCAUUUGAAACUGUUUUUCUUGAGUAUCGGAGAGGCAAUCGGAAUUCCUAGUGUAGCGGUGAAAUGCGUAGAUAUUAGGAGGAACACCAGUGGCGAAGGCGGAUUGCUGGACGACA